rnacentral:tRNA from 1 species
GCCUGAUUAGUUUAAUGGGAAAACAUCUCCCUCACAUGGAGAAGUCAGUGGUUCGAUUCCACUAUCGGGUA